GUUGCCCUGGGUGGGGCUGGAGGACCAACAAUGCUAGCAAUGGCUGGAGAGAACCUGAAAAAGUUAAUCGUCUGUCACUCACACUACCUGCCGGGUUUGCAGCAUGUGCCCGUCUGUUUGCUAUGAGGAUGAUUACCAUAUUCCUUUGAGAGGACUGUCAAAACAACCCCUUUGUGAGCCCCAUCCUUCACUUAUUUCCUGUUUGGUUUUCUCCCGCUCUGCCCUCACUGCAAGAUGCAGUUGGUUGGUAACUAAUAAAGGAGCAAGUGGCGCUCCAGCAGCCCAGAGCGUUUGAAGAGAGAAUACAUAAUAGUAAUCUAAAGCGAGUUGUUCAGAAUGGAGGGCUUAUUUCCCGCUGUGCUGGGGUCAAGUUCAUAGGAAAAAUACCCACCACCAAGCUAAAGAGACAUUUUGGUGCUCACCAGCAUUGGAGCAGACCUGUUGGAGGUCACCUUGCCAAAGACUUUCUCAAUCUGAAGCCCAUCCUGGGAAGAAGUAUCCAGCC